ACACUCUCCUCUUUACCAAGUGAGAAAACAAAGAGAGUAUAGCUUAUAUGUGAUACUUAUAACUCUUCCAAAAUUUCUCUCUCUUUCUAUAGUUUUUUUCUCAUCUGGAGAGCAUUUUCGCUUGAUGGAAAGUUGAUCACAAACAAUGCCCUCGGAAAGAUUGUGGAGGGUUGUUUUGUAUAGAACAGACAAAAGCAAAGAAAAAUACUGUGAUUAAAACUCU